rnacentral:rRNA from 1 species
AGUGAACGCUGGCGGUAGGCCUAACACAUGCAAGUCGAACGGCAGCACAGUAAGAGCUUGCUCUUACGGGUGGCGAGUGGCGGACGGGUGAGGAAUACAUCGGAAUCUACUUUUUCGUGGGGGAUAACGUAGGGAAACUUACGCUAAUACCGCAUACGACCUACGGGUGAAAGCAGGGGAUCUUCGGACCUUGCGCGAUUGAAUGAGCCGAUGUCGGAUUAGCUAGUUGGCGGGGUAAAGGCCCACCAAGGCGACGAUCCGUAGCUGGUCUGAGAGGAUGAUCAGCCACACUGGAACUGAGACACGGUCCAGACUCCUGCGGGAGGCAGCAGUGGGGAAUAUUGGACAAUGGGCGAAAGCCUGAUCCAGCCAUACCGCGUGGGUGAAGAAGGCCUUCGGGUUGUAAAGCCCUUUUGUUGGGAAAGAAAAGCAGCAGGUUAAUACCCCGCUGUUCUGACGGUACCCAAAGAAUAAGCACCGGCUAACUUCGUG